GGGCACUUAGCUCAGCUGGCAGAGCGGCGCCUUUACACGGCGUAGGUCAGGAGUUCGAACCUCUUAGUGCCCACCA
rnacentral:tRNA from 1 species